rnacentral:rRNA from 1 species
GCGCACCAGGCGAGAAUACUUUACAAUGUGCGAAAGCACGAUAAGGGAACUCUGAGUGCCUCCUAAGGAGGCUGUUCUGAUGUCUAAGAAGCAACAGAAGUAAGGGCUGGGUAAGACCGGUGCCAGCCGCCGCGGUAACACCGGCAGCCCAAGUGGUAGCCACGUUUAUUGGGUCUAAAGCGUUCGUAGCCGGCCAGGUAAGUUCCUUGGUAAAUUUAGCCGCUUAACGGUUAAGCUUUCAGGGAAUACUGCUUGGCUUGGGACUGGGGAGAGGUCAGAGGUACUCCGGGGGUAGGGGUGAAAUCUAUUAAUCCCUGGGGGACCACCGGUAGCGAAGGCGUCUGACCAGACCAGGUCCGACGGUGAGGGACGAAGGCUAGGGGCGCGAACCGGAUUAGAUACCCGGGU